rnacentral:rRNA from 1 species
CGCGUAGGCGGACUGGAAAGUUGGGGGUGAAAUCCCGGGGCUCAACCCCGGAACUGCCUCCAAAACUAUCAGUCUAGAGUUCGAGAGAGGUGAGUGGAAUUCCGAGUGUAGAGGUGAAAUUCGUAGAUAUUCGGAGGAACACCAGUGGCGAAGGCGGCUCACUGGCUCGAUACUGACGCUGAGGUGCGAAAGUGUGGGGGAGCAAACA